rnacentral:rRNA from 1 species
AUUGAACGCUGGCGGCAUGCCUUACACAUGCAAGUCGAACGGCAGCGGGGACUUCGGUCCGCCGGCGAGUGGCGAACGGGUGAGUAAUGUAUCGGAACGUACCAUUGAGUGGGGGAUAACGUAGCGAAAGUUACGCUAAUACCGCAUAUUCUCUCCGAAGGAAAGCAGGGGACCGCAAGGCCUGGCGCUCUUUGAGCGGCCGAUAUCAGAUUAGCUAGUUGGUGAGGUAAAGGCUCACCAAGGCGACGAUCUGUAGCGGGUCUGAGAGGAUGAUCCGCCACACUGGAACUGAGACACGGUCCAGACUCCUACGGGAGGCAGCAGUGGGGAAUUUUGGACAAUGGGGGCAACCCUGAUCCAGCCAUGCCGCGUGAGUGAAGAAGGCCUUCGGGUUGUAAAGCUCUUUCGGCCGGGAAAAAAUCGCAUGGGCUAAUAUCCUGUGUGGAUGAUGGUACCGGAAUAAGAAGCACCGGCUAACUACGUGCCAGCCGCCGCGGUAA